AACGAACGCUGGCGGCAUGCCUAACACAUGCAAGUCGAACGAGACCUUCGGGUCUAGUGGCGCACGGGUGCGUAACGCGUUGGAACAUGCCCAUAGGUUCGGAAUAACUCCCCGAAAGGGGUGCUAAUACGGGCUAAUGUCUCCGGACCAAAGAUUUAUGGCCUUUGGAGGGGCCGGCGUCGGAUUAGAUACUUGGUAGGCUAAAAGCCUACCAAGGCGACGAUCCAUAACGGGUUAGGGAGGAUGAUCAGCCACACUGGGACGGGGCAACGGCCCAGACUCCUACGGGAGGCGGCAGUGCGGAAUAUUGGAAGAUCGCGGGAGGGCUGAACGAGCACUGAUGCGUGAGUGCUGUAAGUCUUAAGGUAGUAAAGCUCUUUUACCCGGGAUGAUAAUGACAGUACCGGGAGAAUAAGCUCCGGCUAACUCCGUG
rnacentral:rRNA from 1 species